rnacentral:rRNA from 1 species
ACGUUUGGUAACUCUUACCAUGCAAGUCGAGCCGUCGCCUUGAGGAGCAUGAUACUUCUGCCAAGCUAAUGGGAAAAAGGGGUGUCUGUCUGGCAAGGUGCGAAGGCCAGCUGUUUAACAGCGGAGAACGAAUGCGAAAACCGCAUACGCCCUACGCUGGUAUCCCCCGCAACUUGGGACCUUGCGCGACUUUACACGCCCGGGCGCCGUUCGCUUGUUAAAGAAGCAAGGGGUCUCCCAGGCGACGCUCCCUAUGUAUGCUGAAAGGAUGCCCAGCGACUUCGAAACUAACCCUUGUCCAAAUCUUGAAAGCCGUGGGGAAUAUUGGACUAUGGGCCAAAGCCUGAUCCCGCCAUGCCGCGAGGGUGCAGAAGGUCUUCGGAUCGUCAAGCACUUUAAUUUGUUAGGAAUGGCAUUUUGCUUAUUUCAAUGCUGCCUUUACUUUUUUUUUCCCAAUAAGCAUCGUGGUGGCAUCUGUGCCACCAGCCCCCGUAAUACAGUUGGUGGCAGCGUUAAAUCGG